AUUGAACGCUGGCGGCAGGCCUAACACAUGCAAGUCGAACGAGUGGCGGACGGGUGAGGAAUGUCUGGGAAACUGCCCGAUGGAGGGGGAUAACUACUGGAAACGGUAGCUAAUACCGCAUACCAUCGGAUGUGCCCAGAUGGGAUUAGCUUGUAGGUGAGGUAACGGCUCCCCUAGGCGACGAUCCCUAGCUGGUCUGAGAGGAUGACCAGCAGCACUGCAAUGUGGGCACGGUCCCGACUCCUACGGUAGGAAGCAGGGGGGAUUAUUGAACAAUGGGCUCAAGCCUGCUGGAUCUAUGCUGCGUGCAUGAGGAGUGCCUUUGGGUUGUAAAGUACUUUCAGCGGGCAGGCGUUACCCGCAGAAGGAGCCCCGGCUAACUCCGUGCCAGCGUCCGCGGUAUUAC
rnacentral:rRNA from 1 species